rnacentral:rRNA from 1 species
CGCUUUUAUUUGUACUUAUGGAUAAGAAUGGGUAAUAGUACCUUUUGUAUCAGGGUUAUUUAAUUUAUAAAAUAAUUUAUAUUUCUCGAUAUUAACUGAGUUAAAUAAUGAUUUAUGUGUUGAAUAAUUAUAUUAAUUUAUUUAGUAGUGAAAAUUUUUCGUAGUUAAAGGUAUCUUGUUAUUGUAGUGCUAUAAUAUAAGGGUAAGCUUUUUAUUAAGGCAUAUUGGCGGACAAAGGUGUGUGAUAAAUUAGGCUUAAAAUUAGCUAUAUUUUUAAGUUGUUUUAAAUUUUUUAUUUUUGUGGUCAUAAUAUUGCUUACAGCUGUAGUUAGUGUUUAUAAGGUAGUAUAAUUUAUAAUGAAUAAAUUAGUAUUUUUGUUUUUCUAUAAAUUAUAACUCGGAGUUCGUAAAAUAGUUUAUCAAAAACAUUUUUUUAUUUAUAUGAAAUAAGGCCUGCCCAGUGUGGUAUAAACGGCUGCGGUAUUUUGACUGUGCUAAGGUAGCAUAAUAAUUUGUUUUUUAAUUGAAAGCUGGAAUGAAAGGUUUUAUUUACGAUUAGGUUAAUUAUAGGAGGAAUAAUUUGUGUUUACAGUAAAAACACUGUAAUUUAAUAAAGUGACGAUAAGACCCUAUAAGCUUUAUUUGUAAAAUAAGUGGGGUUAAUAAUUUAAUAUUUUUUUGUUUGUCAAAUUUUGCUGGGGCAGCAGUAUUAUUUUAUUUAAUAGAAAAGUGACACGGUUAUGUGAAUAUACGAUCUUUAAGAUGAAGAUAAUUAGGAGAAGUUACUGUAGGGAUAACAGCGCAAUAAUUUUGGAGAGGUCUUAUUGAUGGGAUUGAUUGCGACCUCGAUGUUGAAUUAAGAAUUCUUUUCGCUGCAGCAGGCGAGGAAGAGGGUUUGUUCAACCUUUAAAAUCUUACAUGAUUUGAGUUCAAAUCGGUUUAAGCCAGAUUGGUUUCUAUCUUUUAUAUGAAAUAAUUUAUGUAAGUACGAAAGGGACACGUAAAUUUU